GGCAGGGCCCCUCCCCGCGGGUGAGGCGCGCCGCGGGCCUGGCCCGGCCCGGUGAGGGGGGAGCGGCCUGCGGGCCCUGAGGGCAGCGCGGGGCUCCCGUGACGGCGGAGGGACCCGUGUCGGGGGCUGGCUCGGUGCCCUCCAGCCCGCCCGGCUGGCAGGUCGUGUGAUGAAAUCGGUCGUUCAGGGUAACCCGGGCUCGCCCCAGAACGCCCACGGUGCGCGUUUUGCUUCACGAGGCCCCCGGGUGAGCGAGGUGAUGCUGCGAGUAUCUGUGGAGGCGUCCCGCAGGUAAACACGGUGAAACCCCGUCGUCAGGGGUUGCUCCAGUGCGGAAGAGGAAAAACAGCAUUGAACAACCGGCUAGUUUGAAAUUGUUCCAACAUCAGACAGCCUUCCUCAAGUGGAAGUGGAUCCAGGUCACCUCUGUGGUCCCUUCCAGCCUGGAUUACUGUGUGCUUCUGUAACGUGCUCCCCUGCAACUCUUUCUAACAGUGAGUGAGCAGCCGGGGGGGCCAGGUGAUGCUUGGCAGCAGACUUGGACACUAACAGAAGUUCUAGGAGAUCCUGGUAUUGAUAACCACAUAAGCUCUUUGUUCACCAUUGGGACCUAAUUUUCAUUUUUAAUUUAUAUGUCUCAUAUAGUGUGAAGCCUCCAAACUACAUCUAGUGUGACUUUUUGAUUUAUCAGCAUUGCAUUUACCUCUUUCUUCCUCAGUCACACCAUCUCAUACUCCAGUGCUGAGAACCACAUUCAGUGCACUAAACUAAACCACUGCCUUUAUUUUCCUUAAAUUAUUAUUUUUUAUUUAUAUUAAAACUCCUUGGUUUAGAGAAUCAGACAAUAACAGAAGGUGGCCAACAGAAAACAUAUCUACAAAUUCUAAAUCCCCUUUCCCAGUGUUGCCAAAGACCAAGGUUUCUGAUCUGGCUCGUGACCAGCAUGCACAAGCUCACAGACUGCAAAUCAGGCUGAGCAGAGGAGGAAUGGGGUUUGCUCUCAACACAAGACAAAUCUAAUGGAAUCUAGGAACAGGCAGAAAGCUAAAUUCCAUGCUUAAUUAUAAUUGUGGAUAAAUUUAAUUAAAAAUUGUACUGUGGAUGAGCUUUAAACUUGGUACAGCUCUCUACAGCUUUUCAAAGGAGAAAAUUCCAUCCUCAGUGGACUUUGAAUUCUACUGUUGAAUUAGAAGUCUGGGAAAGUUAAAACAGCAAAAGCACCCCACACCCCGAAAAGAGGCAGAUGGCUGUCACAGAUAUGCUAUAAUCACACAACAGCACCUCCCACUGUGCCCUACAUAUCGCUCAACGAACCUCCCCAGCCACUCCAGAUGCUUCCCAUUAUCUGUUGUGAAAAAGCAGCUGCUGCAGCAGCGAUAGCCCAGGUACUGUGAGUCAGUCAGUAUUAAUGGCACAAAACCCCCAUCCCUGGCUAAAACUGUGAGUCAAAGAACAAGACUGCUUAAAAAAGGGGUGGCCUAAUUUCAAUUGUUCUGCACAUAGGUAAUGAUUGCACUGCAAAUAAUCCUAAAGCUGAGCAUUGCUCCCCUGAGUGCAGAGAAUCACACCAUGUAUUAACCACGGGUAAAUUACAAUUAAGGGCCUUUGACCACUGAGAACGUGGAGGAGGAAGGGAUCAGCUUAACACCAAAGCAAAUACCUGAAAAGAUUGGAGCAACUGAGCUUGAUUUAAUGCUUAAUCAGAUCCAGAAGAGCUCUGACCUACAUACUCACAGCAUCCCUGGGCUGCAGGCACAGCCAGUUGAGCAGCCAUACAGCCGCGGGGGAAGAGGGUUUAACGUGCUGAACCCGAGGGAGCAGCCGCCUGGACACAGCCCUGUGUCUGCUCCACAGCCUCACAUUCCCUCCUUGGAUGUUUCAGGCAAAAAAAUGUGCCCCCCACUCUUCAGAGCACCUCAACAUUCCACUUUGAUAGAGCAAUGGGAUUUUUUUUUUAGCUGCUGGUGGUGAUUUAGAGACUAUGGAGAUAACACACUGAUCAUUUUUGAAUAUGAAUGUGAUGUGGGAUUGUCAAAGUCAAUGACAGGCUGAAAGAGCUCAGCUUUGCUCCAUUGACAAGUUGGAAAAAUUCAUAGAACUCAUCCUGGAUUCACUCCUGGAUGAAUUAGGGAGACCAAGACAGAGAGAGAGCCAGGUAUGACCAUGGAAUCUGAAAAAGAACCUAAUCUACAUGUGGGGGAGAAUGAGACUUGCUGCAAAAACCAUCCCUUUUUUUUUCAGGAAUAAAAAACAUGAGGAACAUUUUUUAAAACAAGCAGCCACAUCAAAAUGGAACAAUGAAAAUAAUUGAACUGAUUGGUUUAGUGUAAGACCAGAAAACAUCAGAAUUAUUAAUGUGAGAGAGAUGGUAGAAAGACACUGCCAAGCUCAAAGGCCUGAGCCACUGUUUUUUAAAGCAGUCUUGGAAUAAUGCAGCAGCAGAAGAAAAUUCUUGUUCUCAGUACAAGUCUGAUAAACGCUCUCUCUCAAUUUAAAGCUAUUCCCCUUGUCCUGUCACUCCAGGUCCCUGUCCCAACACCAUCUCCAGUUCUUUUGUAAUCCCUUUAGGCACUGAAGGGGCUCCCAGGUCUCCCCAGAAUCUUCUCCAGGUGAACACCCCCAGCUCUCGCAGCCUGGCUCCAGAGCAGAGGGGCUGCAGCCCUUGGAGCAUCUCCAUGGCUUCCUCUGUCUUGCUCCAGCAGGUCCACAAUAUCCUUCUGAUAUUAGGGAUCCCAGAGCUAGACACAGCAUAGCAGGUGGGGACUCUCAGAGUGGAGCAGACACGAAUGGACUGACAAAAUCCAGUAACCAAGUCCUGUCAAGCAGACACCAAGUGAGAUUUUUUAUCAGCUUCUAUUUCUUCCUCCAACAGCACUCUCAUACACAUACACUCCCUUACAUAACAGCAGGGAUUCAAGAUAGUUUAAAAAAAUGAAGAGAAAGAAGAUUGAAAAUAGAAAUACCUACCUCAAACCUAUUUGCAGCACCUAUUUCCUAAUCUUACCCUCACUCCACCUCCCCAUAUUUAAACAGUGAUUUUUGUACCAGUUCUGCCCUGGCAUCCUCUGAAAUCAUCUGGAGCACUCUGGAGGAGCCAAGCCCUGAUCCUCUGCCUGCUGAGGGUGAGGGUCACGCACCUGCAGCCCCCUUAGCUUUGCCGAGAGCAGAGCAGCUGCCGGCCCUGCCGGUCCCGGCAGGCGGGGCAGCGUCACGCGGUGGCGCCGGGGCUCGCUCCGAGGGACGGGAGCCGCCAGCGAGCUCAGCGCCGGAGAGAUGCGGUCCCGGGCAUUCCAAGAGAAUGGAAAGUGCACGCUUUCUGUAGAUGGUAUUGAGAACGACCUUCAGUGGUACCGUAUAAAACUGUAAAUAUCCUUGAUAUAAGUACGAGGGGAAGGGAACUGGGUUAACUUUACAAGGGUCCCUGGCACUGGUCUCCAAUGCUGGAGCCGUUCGAAGUCCAAAAAGCAGAUUUUGGGCUCUGAUGCCACAAAUAAUGAUGAGUAGUUACUUUGAGGUUUCAAAGUCCAUGGGAAUAAAUGUGUGUUUUAGAAGUCAGCAUUUUAAAAUGCAUUCAAAGCAUUUUACAAAGAGAUUCCAGGGGGGAAAGGGACAGUCCAGUAACAUUUUGAGAUGGCUGAGCAAAAGCUCAUGAGCAGACAAACAGAACCCAUCACUAGCUCCUCUCUCCCAGGAAGCAGUGACACCCCCUCCCCUGGGCAUUGUCCCUGCUCCAGCAGCAGCCGGCUGUGUUCCUCUUCCCCGAGGACAAACACAGCAGUGGAAAAGGAGCGGAGCUGCCUGGAAAGUGGGUCAAGCAUGGAACGAAACACCCACCAGAGGGUACUCCCAGGCAGGGCUUCUCGCGGCCCCCCACCCCGCAUUUUCCUAAUAAAAUAAAGAAGCAGAAAAGAGUAGCCAUCACUGCCGACUCCUGCACUGACGGCCACGAUAAAGAAGGCUUUUCAAAGCAAGGUUUAGGGUUGGGGGGGUGUUUUCUCAAACUCCUGAAAAAUAAAGGCAGUUGAGAGCCAGGCUGAAGCCUUUCAGCCCAAUCGAUCAUGCAAUUAUCAAUGUAAACAGGACACUCCUCUUUUACAGUUCAGCACUUUCGGUUUUAGAUGCAUAAUCUGGAAAACAGCUUAUAGAUUUAUUGAAAUUAAAAAACAAACUAAAGCAACAAAACAAACCAAAAGAACCUAACCUCCAAAAACCCAGAUGCGUUUGGGGGAAAUUUACUGAGGAAGAUAUAUACAGAAGUUAAGACAACCAAAAGCAAAGAUUUAGUUUAAUUUAUACAACCUUGUGCAAUGAUACACGUAGCAGCAAAGUGGAGUGUUCUCAAAAUCACUGUCCUGCAAGUUCUCAUGCAGGAUGUCAUCCUGAUCACUGCUCCUCUUCCAUCACCAGUCCAGGUACUAUUAGCAACUGAUGUUUUAAACAUUAUUUAUUCCAGCAGCAAUUAUUUGUCUCCAUCCCAAAGUUCUGUUUACCAGAGAGUAAUUAAGAGGUCAGUAGUUCAGCCCAUUUUAAAGAAUAAAGCUUUUAAGCUCCAGCACAGGUUUUAGAAGGCUAAAACAUGCAGCACUGUUUAAUUUAAAACCAAAAGUGUUGCUUCAGCCUUUUUUUCCUGUCCAUAUGCCAAAGCUUGUUCAAGAAAGCAGCCUGCCUUUAUUCCCAUCCAAAAGGAGUACAGCUAAAUGAAUUAGAGCACCAAAAUAACUUUUUGUAAAACUACAAAAGGCUGACUCAUGAACUGCUGACUCUGCAGGGUUUUAUUGGUGGGUUCAUGGGUACUGAAAGAUUUCUACACCGCCCAGUAUGAUUUUUAUUUAACACUUUACCUGUUUCCAACCUUCUCCGAGAAGAACUUGCAGAACACCAAUACUCUGUUAUGACUGCUGUAGCACACAUAAGGCAUCCAAUGCCUUCUACAAGGCUUCAAAAAUCACUGCUUGUAGACAUUUUGCUCCAAAAAUCCGAGCUCAUACAAACCAUUAGUACGGUUGCAAAAAACAUGGAACACGUAAAAAGCCAUUUCUCAGGCAAAAUUUGGUCUAACCUACAUAGGAACCCUUAAAACAUAUUAAUAGUUUCCAGGAGUGCUCUGCAUCCAGACGAAAGUAGCAAUUAGAGCAAUAAAUGAGUGUGGAAGAGGUGUGUAAGGAGGUAAUGAGAGUGCAGCCACGCCUUCAACUCACUGAAUUUGGAGCAUCUCUUAAUUUGAAAUUCAAAACUGCGAUCACACUUGCAUCUUCUUACAACUCUUUUUCCUGAAUGAACAAGAGUACUUAUUCUUCAGCCCCUCCCAAGGUCACAGCUCCUGCAAGAGCAGGAACUGCACUCCAGUAAUACUAAGGAAACAAAGAGGUGAGAGGGGAAAAUGAAUAUUUAUUGAACUAUGAAAAAAGACCCAAAAUAUACCCAGCACUAUCAUAGCAGGUUUGGUUUUGUCUUGUACAGGACGAAAUCCUUUAGGAGUCGGGAUAAAUUUUUAAAUUGUCAAAGACUUUGUCCCAAGGCCCUUGAAACACAAUUGCUUCCUAAAAAGGGCUCAGUGCUUCAGUUUACUACUAUAAAAUCAAAAUAAAUCCCACACAACAUGGAUUGGUAGGUAUUGGCACCUGUCAGCCGUUUUUUCUGUUACUAGAGGAGCUUUUGACAGGAACUGGACCAAGACACAGGCAGGUGAAAUGUCACAAUUUCCACUGGCAGGAUGUCCCUCAUCACCUUUUACUCAGGACAGAAUUUGUUACCAUCCAGACACAUGGGUAAGGAGUUAAGGCUCUAUCUGCGCUCUCCCAUGCAUCCAGUUUUCUUGCCAGGGUAUUAUCAGAAGACCUAAACAAGGUACCAUUGCCCAAGCACUUGGAGCAGGGAUACUGAGUGUGUACAGAAGGAUCAGCAGCUAGAAACAAUCCAAAAUGAGCACCAGGUGACAGUCACACACGUUGGUUACCUUGGACAAACAUCCAUCUACAGCAGCAGCUUGGUCAGAGACAAUGGAGCAGGGACAGGGGCAGCAGCCAGCCCCAAGCUCCAGGGAUCUGUGAAGAGGGCGCCAUAAGCAGAGGGACAAAGCAGAGGGUGCAAAUGAGAAGAAAGCUGUAGAAUGAGGGCGAAGGGGGAAAAAAAUCUAGCAAAUCCAUACACCUCUGUAUGUAUGCAUGUGUAUUUUUUUUUACUGGCUUUGAGAAGAAAAAAAGAGAAAUAACAUGGAAAAGUACCAUUUCAUUCCCAACUGCUUCUGAUAACCUAAACCCUAAUGUCAGCCCUCCCCACUAAGAGCUGGGUGUGAUAUUUCCACUUAAACAAUAUGGAAUUUUCAGCUCUGCCUCUAUUUUGUAUUUCAUGGAAUGUAGCAGGCAUUGUAGAGAUGGAGGAAUUGCCAGUAAUCUCCAAAACCCACUCAGUUCUCUGCAGACACCAUGGUCAGAGGCUGAAGUAAAACACAUUUUGUGCAGGUAAACUAAUCAAUCAGCUACCAAUAAAUCAAACUCCAAUUAUCUGUAUCUUUGUUUCUUCUCUUGCAUCUUCCAAACAUGGGUUCAGCUGGUUAGUGCUUCAUAAGAGCAACUGAUUUUUUUCCUUCAGUGUGGUUUUCUCACUGGAAUCUUCACACAGACCAUCACAACAUAAUUAUAGAGGAAAGCACAAAAACUGGAGUGACUCCAACAUUGUCCAUGGACUUUACUAACAACCACUUGGAUUUAUGUACAGAAACUGAAGCAAGGAAAGAACUGCUCCUCACCAGAGCAGAUGAAUCACACCAAUUAAAGCAACAAGGAAAGCAGAAAAUAGGGCAAAGUCAUUCCUCUUGAAGGAAUGGUGUCAAUGAAAGCACAAAGUCCCAUCUACACAAACACAAGAGAAAGACAAGCGACAGGAAUGGAACAUGAACUGCUCUCAGCAAAGGAUUUUUUUAAUAGUGAUCAAAGCAAAAGCUCCCAAUAUAAUUUAAAAAAGCCACUUCAGAUGCACUUAUUUUUAGCAUGCACUUCUUCCUGUAAGAGAUGAAACUACAGCAGACUGAGCUCUCCAGAAGCCAUCUGGAACCCAACCUACAGGACAAGGCUCAAAUUUUGCUGAAGGAAAAGCAAUCACUUGAGCCCUUCUGAAAGGGGAUGAAGUAAUGCUUGAUGAAAUGCAGACUCUUCUUUGCAAGUUAAAGAAUUAAGUGGUCCUCCAGCUUUUCAGAAAAGCAAGAAAGUACCAAAAUGCAUGUCUAGGACUAAAGCUCCAGGUGAGUUGGACAUUUGUAAAAUUUCUGUGUGUUCCCUUAGAAACAGUGUAAAAAACAAACCUCCACAUUAUUACAGAAUCCACACUGUGCCCAAGAAACUUCAAGUCUCAAACAAUAUGAAUAUUACGAGUCCUUCUAUUAAGUCAAUAGCCAGGUACAUCAUUUAGAUGUACUCAAGAAGUUUCACGCACAAGCCGUAAGGCGGAAUAAUAUAUGAAUUUUGGCUUUGAACCAAAUCAUCAAAUUUGGGUUCAAAUUUUGAAGAUGUUAGCAGAAAGGAAAUACUUAAACAGAAGUUAAUAUAAACCACACACCACUGUUUUUCAGAAUGGAAGCCUGGGCAAAUACACGUAGCACUAAACGUAAAGUUGUUUCCUUUAAUAUUUACAAAACUGGUUUUAUUCUUAGUUUUUCAGAAAAAUUAUUUUAAGUAUUAGCACCUACAUUGUAAAUGACUUAGAUUUACACUUGAAAUAAAGCAACACACAAUCAGUUAAGUGAACCUAUAUUCUCCCAUUUCUGAGUAUUUCAGUAGAGCACCAAGAGGGAAAGAGCAACAUGUGAGUAACCAGCAAGCUGUUCUCAGCUGUGAGACACAGGCCCAGGCACCUUCCUGGGACAGGAUUCUAAAGGUCAGUUUUCCAGCACACUCCAAAUCACCUCAGUUUUAGUUAUUUAUAGAGUGGAAACUUCUAUGCAAGUUUAUAAAACCCAUCCAGCUACAUGUUAGUUUAUUAAACCACAGUUGACCUGAGAUGCAAUUACAAUUUUGACAUUUUUCCAUACUUAGUUCACAAGUUUAUUAUGAAAAACACUGCAGCUCUCUCCUGCAGUAACAUUGUUUUACAGAAAAAAAACAGUUCUGUUCAAAGUAAUUCACUAUCCUUGGACAAUUACAAGGGACAAUAUGGUAGGGCAGAGUGGAAAAGGGAACUGAGUGCAGACAAAAAAAAAAAAAAAAAAAAAAAAAUCAAUACAAUUAAAUUAAACAGUAUUCCCUGAAAAUAAAACAAA